AACAUUUCUAACUUUUGAAAAAUUCCCAGGAAUUUUUAUAAAUUGGUCCGAAAAUAUGUGUUUUAUGACUGUAAUGUUUGUUGAAUUUUUGGUGAUUUUCACCAAAAGUACGAUAAUCUGGAGUAAUUUACCCCGCGUUGAUGACAAGAAGCCAAUAGACUCAAAAACAGUGAAUUCGUUUCGACCAUCUAAGCAAUGGAGUUAAAGAAAAAUAUGUUGUGAACAUCUCAGCAGUUGGACUAAAUUACUAUUUCAAUGAAAUGUUGAUGUUAUUGGGGAAGAAACUGGGCUAAGUCUUUAGAGAUUAUGGACUAUAGAUGAAAAACAGAAUUGAUAUUGCUUUUGAGAUGACUCAUCGUCAAAGAUUGUAAGCAGUGGAGUUCAAUGUAAUGAACAUUGGUGCGCUACAAAUGCAAAAGAAGUGUGUUAGAAAGAAGUAAAAUCAAUGGACUCUGGCUGCAAAUGGAGUAAUUGGGAAAAAAUUGCACGUUGUGUCAGCAGAUAAUGGACAACAAACAUGAUGCCGAUACAAGUGAAAUUGAAGUGAAACGAUGAUAAUAAUGCUGUUAAUGGUAAAUUGUUCAAGGAAAACCAGCCCAGAAUGAUGUUCAGUGAAUAUUGCUCGUGGUAAUAGAUAUAGUUUGGCUCCACUAUAAGUAUAAUUGUCAAUCUAAAUAAAGUUGGAAGUUCCCCUUCCUUCCUACUUUAUUUAGAUGAAGUUUAAGUUAAAUGCUUUGUCUGUCAAAAUUGCCCCACACAAUUUUGAUAGAUAAAUGCAAUAAAAUAAUAUUGUAAAUUGUCUUUUUGUCAAUAGUUUAAAGUAAUUAUUAUACUCCUGUAAUGAUCAUAAUGAAUUGAUAGACUGUAGAUAAACACCGGAAUAAGAAUUGAGUAAUAUGAAUAAUUUAAAUGAUUUACUGAAUAAUUUGUAUAAUUUGAUGAA